CGCCCCUUAACUAUUCACGCAAAGUUACAUUUUCCCCUAAAAAUCAGCUAUUUGCAUGCUUAAUUAAUGCAUUUGCCUAAUUUGCAUAUGUCAGCAAUAUGCAAAUUAGGUAAAGGCAUUAAUUAAGCAUGCGAAAGGCUGACUUUUUAGAACAAAAUGAAUAGUUAAGGGGCUUAAACUAAACCAAAUUGUCUGAAAUUUUGUACAGUAAUUAAAAACCCGACAAAUUUUCAAUCUAUUAACUCAAAAUAUGAUUACAGCUUUUAAAUUUUGUGCGCGAGCCAUUUUUAGUUUGUUGGAAAAGACACACACCCCUGGUUCACAAAAUUUGAGUUCGAGAAAUUUUUUUCAUUAUUUUACAUUAUAAGUACCCAAAGAAGCUAUAUAUAAAAAUACCGGAUACAAAUAGGUGUUUUGCG